CUGAAAUUGUUUCUGUUUGUCGAAGCUUUCUCUGUUCGAACCAUUUAGGCUUGGUUUAAUCAAUAGUUGAGUAGAUAAAAGGUACUUAGAUUAAGAAAUUUAUGUGAAUACAGGGGGAGGAGUUAGAGAAGCUUGCUUUAGAUGUAGCUUUUUCUUAUGCAACAUAUUAUGAAAUUGGUGGAGGCAUUAUCGGCUACACUUAAAAACAAGGCAAGUAAAAGACCAAUUAUUCAUACGUUGUUAUCCUUAUGUGCUUAGCUCAUUUCACAGCCAUCUUUCUUAUCCUUUUAGAACACUCUCUCCACUUAUUGUUUUCUUAAUGAAUUAUUCUCAAUGAAAACUGUACUGAAAGCUAUUGGUUGAACCAAACAAUGCAUUUAGUUCUUACAACAAAACAAUGAACUGACUUUGUUCGCAUUUGCUUCUUCUACUGAUAUUCUCAGUAAAUACAGUAUACUGUGGCCCACUGGUCAAGUCUCUAUAAGCAAACAUAACAACUGCAAUUCGACCCACCUGCUCUCCUGCAAAAGAUGGUAAUGAACAAGGUAGUACUUGGAUUUUUGUCCUAUCCCAAAAUCACUCAUCAAGGACACCAGCUCAAGAAGAAGAAGGUCAACAGAACAAGAAACGGUUAUUGGUGAUUGCUCUGAUCACAAUUCCUAUGAUUAUGAUCCUACUGAGAACAAUGAUGUAUUCUCUAAAAAGGAGAGUAGUCAAGUCAAUUGGAAGGAUGAGACCUGGGUGAGCCAGACAGAAUUGUCAGGAAACUGUUGCAGCCUAGGGUCUAUGUGAAAUUGAUUAAUGUGGGUCUUGAGGUGGCCUUCAUCCCUGUUCAACUGAAGCCCCUCAGUUCAAUUCAGAGUUUUCAUGCAGAUCGAGAAGAAAGACAUCCAAGAUUUCAGAACCAACCCAUCUUUUUGAACGAAGUUUACGAAAGAGUAAGAAUAAUAAAUGACCAUGAAGAUUCUUUGACAUGAAGCAUGGACUAUUGUACCUGCAUUCAUUUAUAUGCAACAUAUCUCGAAGAACGCCUGGACUGUUUUUCUAUCCUGAAGUACGAUGUUCAGAAAGAUCACUUGGUAAAAUUGCCAAGUUGUAUGCUGCAAUUACAAAUGGUAUCGUCAAUUUAGUUAACAAUGCAGGCCUUGGUUUUCUAUGUGCACAAUGAUGGGCAGCUGCUACAAUUAAUGAUGGGCAAUACUUGAUUUUGUCAUAGAAUUGUUUGAUAGAAUGUUAUUGUAAACUGCGAUAAUGUAAACCCAACAAUUUUAGACAGAUGAAAGUUUUGCUCAUUUUAUCAUUC